CGUCGAGUCGCGUCAUGCCCUCUGUAGAGGGUAGCCCUACUUCGCCUCGAUUU
rnacentral:rRNA from 1 species